rnacentral:rRNA from 1 species
UAGUCCACGCCGUAAACGAUGGAUACUAGGUGUCCGGGAAGUUAACCUCCUGGGUACUACAGCUAACGCGUUAAGUAUCCCGCCUGGGGUGUACGGUCGCAAGGCUAAAACUCAAAGGAAUUGACGGGGGCCCGCACAAGCGGUGGAGUAUGUGGUUUAAUUCGAAGCAACGCGCAGAACCUUACCUACCCUUAACAUUUCACGCUCGCCUCAGAGAUGAGGUUUUCUCUUCGGAGACGUGAGGAUAGGUGCUGCAUGGCUGUCGUCAGCUCGUGUCGUAAGAUGUCUGGUUAAGUCCAAUAACGAGCGCAACCCUUAUCCAUAGUUACCAGCAUUAAGUUGGGGACUCUAGGGAGACUGCCGGUGUUAAACCGGAGGAAGGCGGGGAUGACGUCAAGUCCUCAUGGCCCUUACGGGUAGGGCUACACACGUACUACAAUGGCAGAUACAAACCGUUUGCAAAGCCGCGAGGUUGAGCUAAUCGGUAAAACACUGUCCCAGUCCGGAUUGGAGUCUGCAACUCGACUCCA